ACAUGACACCAAAGCUAAGAGUCCAAUCAAGCAGGAGAGACCAGCCUCCCCUGUACCCAGCUGUGUGUCCAUGAAGAGUGGCCUGUCUAUGAAUCUUCCUAUAACGUUUAGAGAGGGAGACUUUUCUACUGAACAAAGUCCAAUCAAGCAGGAGAGACCAGCCUCCCCUGUACCCAGC